GGGGUGAUAUGGUGUGGCCACUUUGUGUGAAAUAUUAUAUUUUUUUAUAAGUGCUUCAAAAUAUUUAUUCAUAAAAUGAGUCCCCCCAUCACUAAUGAUCACCCUUGGGAAGCCAAAUCGACUAAUGAUGUUUCGUUGGAUAAAACUAAUUAUAAUUUUAUUAUCAUUAGUCCAUGUAGCUAUUGCCUCCACCCAUUUUGAUAUGUAAUCAACUGCCAC
rnacentral:lncRNA from 1 species